rnacentral:rRNA from 1 species
UCAAGCGAACAAGGGCGCAGGGCGAAUGCCUUGGCACUGGGAGCCGAUGAAAGACGUGAUAAGCUGCGAUAAGCUUCGGGGAGCUGCAAAUAAGCAUUGAUCCGGAGAUCUCUGAAUGAGGAAACUCACUCAGGUUCAUACCUGAGUACGCUGCACUGAAAUUCAAAAUAGGUGCAUCGGGGGAACCGCCUGAACUGAAACAUCUAAGUAGGGCGAGGAAGAGAAAUCAAACGAGAUUCCGUAAGUAGUGGCGAGCGAACGCGAAAGAGGCUAAACCAAGAGAAGAAAUUCUUUUGGGGUUACGGACUGCGAUAUGUAUCUGAGGACUUAGCAGAAUGGUAUGGGAAAGCCAACCAGAGAAUGUGAUAGUCAUGUAUGCGAAAAGGAAUCAGAGCUAGCAGGAUCCAAAGUACCGCGGGACACGAGGAAUCCCGUGGGAAGUUGGGGGGACCACCCUCCAAGCCUAAAUACUACCCAAUGACCGAUAGCGAAAAGUACUGUGAAGGAACGGUGAAAAGAACCCCGGGAGGGGAGUGAAAAGAACCUGAAACUCUAUGCUUACAAGCACAUAGAGCACGUCAAAGUGUGAUAUGGUACCUUUUGUAGAAUGGUCCGGCGAGUUAUUGUAUGCAGCAAGGUUAAGGUCUUCAGGACUGAAGCCGAAGCGAGAGCGAGUCUGACAAGGGCGGUAAGUUGCAUGCAAUAGACCCGAAACCGGGUGACCUAGCCAUGUUCAGGUUGAAGUGGAGGUAAAGCUCCAUGGAGGACCGAACCGACCUCCGUUGAAAAGGCGGCGGAUGAAAUGUGGCUAGCGGAGAAAUUCCAAUCGAACCCGGAGAUAGCUGGUUCUCCCCGAAAUAGCUUUAGGGCUAGCGUUGUAUUAGAUUUCUGGGGGUAAAGCACUGAAUAGGCUAGGGGCCGAGAGGUUACUGAACCUUAUCAAACUAAGAAUACCAGAAAAUUGAUGUACAGCAGUCAGACUAUGUGAGAUAAGUCUCAUAGUCAAAAGGGAAACAGCCCAGACCCACAGCUAAGGUCCCAAAACAGAUUUAAGUGGAAAAGGAUGUGGGAUUGCCCAGACAACCAGGAUGUUGGCUUAGAAGCAGCCACACAUUAAAAGAGUGCGUAAUAGCUCACUGGUCGAGUGAUCCUGCGCCGAAAAUUCAACGGGGCUAAAAUUUGUACCGAAGCUUGGGCUUGAUACUUCGUAUCAGGGGUAGGGGAGCGUCAUGUAUGAGGUGAAGUCGUAGCGAAAGCGGCGGUGGAUUGUACAUGAGAGAGAAUGCCGGAAUGAGUAGCGAGAAUUAUGUGAGAAUCAUAAUGGCCGAAAAUCUAAGGUUUCCUGAGGAAGGUUCGUCCGCUCAGGGUAAGCCGGGAGCUAAGGUGAGGCGGAAACGCGUAGCCGAUGCACAUACGGUAGAGAUUCCGUAGCCUCCGAAAAGUAAAGCACAGGGACGCUUCAGAAGUGUUACGCCGGGCGAUGGUUGCCCCGGUUGUAAAGGACACGAUUGAGUGGAAGGUAACAUGGAUGGAGACAAGAAAAGCUGUGUGUAUCUGGAAGGAGCCCGUACCGCAAACCGACACAGGUAGAUAGGAAGAAGAUUCUAAGGCCAGCGGGAGAAGGGUUGUUAAGGAACUCGGCAAGUUGACCCCGUAACUUCGGGAGAAGGGGUGCUUACGAAGGUAAGCCGCAGAGAAUAGGCCCAAGCGACUGUUUAGCAAAAACACAGCUCUAUGCUAAAUCGAAAGAUGACGUAUAUGGGGUGACACCUGCCCGGUGCUGGAAGGUUAAGAGGAGAUGUGAGAGCAUUGAAUUGAAGCCCCAGUAAACGGCGGCCGUAACUAUAACGGUCCUAAGGUAGCGAAAUUCCUUGUCAGGUAAGUUCUGACCC